rnacentral:rRNA from 1 species
UACGGGGGGAGCAAGCGUUGUUCGGAUUUACUGGGCGUAAAGGGCGCGUAGGCGGCCACCGCAAGUCGAUUGUGAAAUCUCCGGGCUUAACCCGGAAAGGUCAACCGAUACUGCGGGGCUAGAAUGCAGAAGGGGCAACUGGAAUUCUCGGUGUAGCGGUGAAAUGCGUAGAUAUCGAGAGGAACACCUGCGGCGAAGGCGGGUUGCUGGGCUGACACUGACGCUGAUGCGCGAAAGCUAGGGGAGCGAACGGG